rnacentral:rRNA from 1 species
GGGCUUCGCAGGCGGUUUUUUAAGUUCCUGAAUGUGAAAGCCCCCCGGCUCAACCGGGGAGGGUCAUUGGAAACUGGGGAACUUGAGUGCAGAAGAGGAGAGUGGAAUUCCACGUGUAGCGGUGAAAUGCGUAGAGAUGUGGAGGAACACCAGUGGCGAAGGCGACUCUCUGGUCUGUAACUGACGCUGAGGAGCGAAAGCGUGGGGAGCGAACAGGAUUAGAUACCCUGGUAGUCCACGCCGUAAACGAUGAGUGCUAAGUGUUAGGGGGUUUCCGCCCCUUAGUGCUGCAGCUAACGCAUUAAGCACUCCGCCUGGGGAGUACGGUCGCAAGACUGAAACUCAAAGGAAUUGACGGGGGCCCGCACAAGCGGUGGAGCAUGUGGUUUAAUUCGAAGCAACGCGAAGAACCUUACCAGGUCUUGACAUCCUCUGACAAUCCUAGAGAUAGGACGUCCCCUUCGGGGGCAGAGUGACAGGUGGUGCAUGGUUGUCGUCAGCUCGUGUCGUGAGAUGUUGGGUUAAGUCCCGCAACGAGCGCAACCCUUGAUCUUAGUUGCCAGCAUUCAGUUGGGCACUCUAAGGUGACUGCCGGUGACAAACCGGAGGAAGGUGGGGAUGACGUCAAAUCAUCAUGCCCCUUAUGACCUGGGCUACACACGUGCUA